UUAGUUGCUCUGUUUCCCCUGUCUCUUGUCAGAUCAUUGUACGUCAAACCCUCCUGCAUGUACCUCUUGUUUCCCUGUGCCAGUGUCUCCAGUGUUUGCCUCAUUCGCACUCCGAUUCAAUGAGAGGCCCACAACUCAAUUCAGACAAGUCAUCUGAUUGGACAAGAGACGGUUCGACAACAGCAUUGAGGCUGCCACCAAAGCAUGACUGAAGGACAUGUUGAAACAUUCUGACAAGGGUAUAAGACAAAGUUGAUAUGCUGAAGUAUCAGAGUGUGACCAAAGAACUGAGCAAACUUUUAACAAGAUCUAAAGUUCACUUUGAGUAUCUGACAGGUUUUUCAUCGCCCAAGGACUUCGAUGCAACUUCUUCUGUGUUUUGAAUAAAAUAAGCCAUUUCAAAGAUCCGUCAUACAUG